AGAGUUUGAUCCUGGCUCAGGACGAACGCUGGCGGUGUGCUUCACACAUGCAAGUCGAACGGAGUAGCAAUACUCAGUGGCGGACGGGUGAGUAACACGUGGGAAUCUACCAUUAGGUGGGGAACAACAGGCCGAAAGGACUGCUAAUGCCGCAUAUGUAGGCAUCUCGACAGAGAUGUUUAUGAAAGGAGUAAUCCGCCUUUUGAUGAGCCCGCGUCCGAUUAGCUAGUUGGUAGGGUAAAAGCCUACCAAGGCGACGAUCGGUAGGUGGUCUGAGAGGAUGAUCACCCACAAUGGGACUGAGACACGGCCCAUACUCCUACGGGAGGCAGCAGUGGGGAAUUUUACGCAAUGGGGGAAACCCUGACGUAGCGACACCGCGUGAGCGAAGAAGCCCUUUGGGGUGUAAAGCUCUGUCAACAGGAACGAAACAAAUGACGGUACCUGUGGAGGAAGCAUCGGCUAACUACGUGCCAGCAGCCGCGGUAAGACGUAGGAUGCAAGCGUUGUCCGGAUUUAUUGGGCGUAAAGAGUUCGUAGGCGGUUUGUUAAGUCUGAUGUUAAAGACCGGGGCUCAACCUCGGAAAUGCAUUGGAUACUGGCAGACUGGAGUGCAGUAGAGGCUAGUGGAAUUCCCAGUGUAGCGGUGAAAUGCGUAGA
rnacentral:rRNA from 1 species